UUGCCUGCACCUGCCGGCGACCGGCGCACGGGUGAGUAACACGUAUGGAACCUGCCCGCCACAGGGGGAUAACCCGGGGAAACCCGGCCUAAUACCCCAUGCCGCCCGGACCGGGCAUCCGGUCCGGGCGAAAGGAGGAAUCCGGUGGCGGCUGGGCAUGCGGCGCACUAGCUUGACGGCGGGGUAACGGCCCACCGUGGCGACGAUGCGUAGGGGUUCUGAGAGGAAGGCCCCCCACACUGGAACUGAGACACGGUCCAGACUCCUACGGGAGGCAGCAG
rnacentral:rRNA from 1 species